CUUGGUGACUGAGUGGCGGACGGGUGAGUAACGCGUAUGCAACCUGCCCGAUACCGGGGUAUAGCCCAUGGAAACGUGGAUUAACACCCCAUAGUACUUUUAUCCUGCCUGGGAUGGGAGUUAAAUGUUCAAGGUAUCGGAUGGGCAUGCGUCCUAUUAGUUAGUUGGCGGGGUAACAGCCCACCAAGACGAUGAUAGGUAGGGGUUCUGAGAGGAAGGUCCCCCACAUUGGAACUGAGACACGGUCCAA
rnacentral:rRNA from 1 species